AGCGAACGCUGGCGGCAGGCCUAACACAUGCAAGUCGAACGAACCCCACGGGGAUAGUGGCGGACGGGUGAGUAACACGUGGGACCGCGCCUUUAGGUGCGGAAUAACUCAGGGACACUUGCGCUAAUCGCGAAUGUGCCCUUCGGGGGAAAGAUUUAUCGCAUUUAGAGCAGCCCGCGUGUGAUUAGCUAGUUGGUGGGGUAAUGGCUCACCAAGGCGACGAUCCGUAGCUGGUCUGAGAGGAUGACCAGCCACAACUUGGGACUGAGACACGGCCCAAACUCCUACGGGAGGCAGCAGUGGGGAAUAUUGGACAAUGGGCGAAAGCCUGAUCCAGCAAUGCCGCGUGGGUGAUGAAGGCCUUAGGGUUGUAAAGCUCUUUUACCCGGGAUGAUAAUGACAGUACCGGGAGAAUAAGCUCCGGCUAACUCCGUGCCAGCCGCCGCGGUAAAAC
rnacentral:rRNA from 1 species